UGGUGCCAUGGGCUAGGAACUCUUAGGGCUGGGAAACAAUCUUGGUUUCCCAACAGUCUAUAUCAUAUAGGUAAAAACUGUAAAAUACAUCACAGUGCAGAUGAAAUCUAACACUACCAGCUCAUUUUGUGCUGCUACGGGAGCAGUGAAUUAAAAUUAAGUCUUGUACUGGGGAUUGGGCCUUUUAUCAGGGCAACUGAGAUCAACUGUACAGAAAUUUUCAAAUUUCCCUUCUCAUCAGGCAAACAGAUGGACAAUGAAGCCGGUUCAGAGGCCCAACCAAGACAAUGAUGCACAGGGAAACUCCCUCGAGCCCCAGCUGUCACCUAGUACUUCGAAGACAUUGAGAGGCUUUCUCCAUGAUGUCAAGAUGCAUAGAAAUCUUAUCUGUAACAACAACAACAACAAAAAAUCUGCUUUUAAAAGCAUAAGAAAAACACUUUAGGGCCAGUCGCAAGUGGCUCACACCUGUAGUUCAGAACUUUGUGAGGCUAAGGCAGGAGGGUCGCUUGAGCCCAGCAGUUCAAGACCAGCCUCAGCAACGGAGCAAAACCUCAUCUCUAAAAAUCGUUAAAAUAGGACUGAUCUGAAUCGAAUCUAGUCUGUAGAUCUAACUGUCAGUUUGCAGGAAAUACAAGGAUAAAAGAACAAAUUUAACACCACAAGGUAGCAAUCAGACAAAUCCAGAAGGUUGGACACUAUAUAGGACAAUUGAUCCAGGAGCUGAGAAUAACCACGUGGUGCUGGGGAGGAACUGUUCAAGAUUAAGCGAGAAAGAGAAGACCCCACAGGAAACAUAAUAUGUGGACUUCAGCAGUGUAAACAAGCUCUCUGUAAACAGAUAAUUUUGAGGCAACUGUAAAAUUAUGAAUAUGGACUGGGAAUGAAACACACUAAGAAAUAACUGUUGCCGGGUGCAGUGGCUCAUGCCUGUAAUCCCAGCACUCUGGGAUGCUGAAGUAGGCAGAUCGCUUGAGCCCAGGAGUUCAAGCCCAGUUUGGCCAACAUGGUGAAACCCCAUCUCUAUUAAAAAUACAAAAAUCAGCCAGGUGUGGUAGUGGGCACCUCUAAUCCCAGCUACUCAGGAGGCUGAGGCAGAAGAAUUGCUUGAACCCAGAGGCGGAGGUUGCAGUGAGCCGAGAUCGCACUACUGAACUACUGCACUCCAGCCUGGGUGACUGAGACUCCAUCUCAGAAAAAAAAAAAAAGAAAAAGAAAAAAAAAAAAAGCUUUGCAAGUAUCAUUUUUCAAAAAUAGAUUCUUAAAAACAUCAGUCAUCAUUGUAAAGUUCUUAGCAGGUUAAGAGGUACUUUAUAAUAAUGAGUUUAUUAUCCAUUAGUCUCAUACUUCAGCAAUUAUUAGCACACCAAAGUGUAAUUUUACUAUGACUGUCCUUUUAAUUACUAGUGACACUGUACUCCUAACAGUGCAGUUUGUGAACAACUGUGCUAAGUGCUAAGAGCAAAUAUGCUGAGGGAAUUGCUAGUAUAUUGGCACUACCAGGGUUGCUGCUUAAAAUUUAUGGAGUGGUAUUAGAAUUAACUGUGUGGUAUUUUUCAGAAUGCAUGUUGCCUGGUGUGCAAGGAAAAUGGUGUGGAUUGUUCAUUCAUCAGCAGGAGAAUGUAACAUGCAUACAUUGGAUGCAACAGCAAAGGCAGAAGGCAUCUUUAAAAAUUCUGAAUUUGCCCUUUCACUAAAGACAGAUUUAUUUCUUUAAAAAAGUACCUCUGGAAUAACGUUAAAUUAUAAAAUGUGGCUCAACUUUUCAAAUACUUACCUAAUUAAUACACAUAGUUAGAUCAAGCCAAAGGGCAUAUUCUAAUAAUAUAACUCAAUAAAGCAACUUGAUAUGACUUCUUCUCUUCAAGUCCACAUAAGUUUUAAGAAAUCCUACACCAGCAGUUCUUCUUCUCCCAUUUCUAAUUAUUUAACAUGUUAGGUCAGAAGCAAAUUGUUUUACCUUAAGAGUUUCAAGUGUACCAUCUUCUUUGGCAAGGACGCUGCCAGUGAUUCCUAAAAUGCUGACGACAUUCACUCUAACCCCGACAUUACUACUAUGAAUGCCUGCUUUGCAUAAUGUCAUCAGCUGAUCAGGAGUCAUGCACUGUUGAAAGAGAAGAGGACGGUAUUUAUAAUGUUAAACUCAAUUAAUUCUAUCAGCAUGCAAAAACUGGACUGACAGGAAUCUCCUCUAUAGGCUACAGGAUUUUAAGAGUGACAUAAACUCCUGGCAGCUCUAGACCUAGCUCCCGGCUCACAGGAAACAUGGGGGACAGAGGAAUGCUGAACGAUGCCAUCAUGAUGAGUUGGCCAAAUCUGUCAGUGCGGAAAACGCUACGGAACAAAAUGAGAGUUUCUUCAAUGGCCAUCCUGUUAUGAGGAAGCCCGCAUCACAUGAAGAGGUCACCGCGGGUGUUCUUCCUGACAACCCCUGCACCAACUGCCAGACACGUGAGUGAACAAGACUUCAGACGAUUCCAGCCCACACUGCAAGUUUUCCAGCAGAGGCCCUACACUAGUAUUUCUCAGCCUCUGCACUACUGACAUUUUGGACCAGGUAAUUCUUCAUUUUGUGUGUGCGCAGGGGUCUCCUGGGCACUGUAGCAUGUGAAGGAACAUUCCUGGCCUCAACCCUCUAGAUACCAGUUGCAAUUUCCAAGUUGUAAAACCAAAAAUACCUCCAGACGUUGCCAAAUGUCCCCAGGUGGGAGGUGGGAGGGGAUAAGUGGCCAUGGUUGAGAACCACUGGCCUAGACAUUGUGGAAUAGGAAAAAGCCAUCUCCACUGUGCCCUGUCUAAAUUCUUGACCAAAGGAAACUUUGACAAAUAAUAAAUGAUUGUUGUUGUUAA